rnacentral:rRNA from 1 species
GUGGGGAAUAUUGGACAAUGGGCGCAAGCCUGAUCCAGCCAUGCCGCGUGUGUGAAGAAGGCCUUCGGGUUGUAAAGCACUUUUGUCCGGGAAGAAAUCUUCCAGGUUAAUACCCUGGGAGGCUGACGGUACCGGAAGAAUAAGCACCGGCUAACUUCGUGCCAGCAGCCGCGGUAAUACGAAGGGUGCAAGCGUUACUAGGAAUUACUGGGCGUAAAGCGUGCGUAGGUGGUUCGUUAAGUCUGCCGUGAAAGCCCCGGGCUCAACCUGGGAAUGGCGGUGGAUACUGGCGGGCUAGAGUGCGGUAGAGGGUGGUGGAAUUCCCGGUGUAGCAGUGAAAUGCAUAGAGAUCGGGAGGAACAUCUGUGGCGAAGGCGGCCACCUGGACCAGCACUGACACUGAGGCACGAAAGCGUGGGGAGCAAACAGGAUUAGAUACCCGGGUAGUCC